rnacentral:rRNA from 1 species
AAAUUGAAGAGUUUGAUCAUGGCUCAGAUUGAACGCUGGCGGCAGGCCUAACACAUGCAAGUCGAACGGUAGCACAGAGAGCUUGCUCUCGGGUGACGAGUGGCGGACGGGUGAGUAAUGUCUGGGAAACUGCCUGAUGGAGGGGGAUAACUACUGGAAACGGUGGCUAAUACCGCAUAACGUCGCAAGACCAAAGAGGGGGACCUUCGGGCCUCUUGCCAUCAGAUGUGCCCAGAUGGGAUUAGCUAGUUGGUGAGGUAACGGCUCACCAAGGCGACGAUCCCUAGCUGGUCUGAGAGGAUGACCAGCCACACUGGAACUGAGACACGGUCCAGACUCCUACGGGAGGCAGCAGUGGGGAAUAUUGCACAAUGGGCGCAAGCCUGAUGCAGCCAUGCCGCGUGUAUGAAGAAGGCCUUCGGGUUGUAAAGUACUUUCAGCGGGGAGGAAGGUGUUGUGGUUAAUAACCGCAGCAAUUGACGUUACCCGCAGAAGAAGCACCGGCUAACUCCGUGCCAGCAGCCGCGGUAAUACGGAGGGUGCAAGCGUUAAUCGGAAUUACUGGGCGUAAAGCGCACGCAGGCGGUCUGUCAAGUCGGAUGUGAAAUCCCCGGGCUCAACCUGGGAACUGCAUUCGAAACUGGCAGGCUUGAGUCUUGUAGAGGGGGGUAGAAUUCCAGGUGUAGCGGUGAAAUGCGUAGAGAUCUGGAGGAAUACCGGUGGCGAAGGCGGCCCCCUGGACAAAGACUGACGCUCAGGUGCGAAAGCGUGGGGAGCAAACAGGAUUAGAUACCCUGGUAGUCCACGCCGUAAACGAUGUCUACUUGGAGGUUGUGCCCUUGAGGCGUGGCUUCCGGAGCUAACGCGUUAAGUAGACCGCCUGGGGAGUACGGCCGCAAGGUUAAAACUCAAAUGAAUUGACGGGGGCCCGCACAAGCGGUGGAGCAUGUGGUUUAAUUCGAUGCAACGCGAAGAACCUUACCUGGUCUUGACAUCCACAGAACUUUCCAGAGAUGGAUUGGUGCCUUCGGGAACUGUGAGACAGGUGCUGCAUGGCUGUCGUCAGCUCGUGUUGUGAAAUGUUGGGUUAAGUCCCGCAACGAGCGCAACCCUUAUCCUUUGUUGCCAGCGGUUAGGCCGGGAACUCAAAGGAGACUGCCAGUGAUAAACUGGAGGAAGGUGGGGAUGACGUCAAGUCAUCAUGGCCCUUACGACCAGGGCUACACACGUGCUACAAUGGCGCAUACAAAGAGAAGCGACCUCGCGAGAGCAAGCGGACCUCAUAAAGUGCGUCGUAGUCCGGAUUGGAGUCUGCAACUCGACUCCAUGAAGUCGGAAUCGCUAGUAAUCGUGGAUCAGAAUGCCACGGUGAAUACGUUCCCGGGCCUUGUACACACCGCCCGUCACACCAUGGGAGUGGGUUGCAAAAGAAGUAGGUAGCUUAACCUUCGGGAGGGCGCUUACCACUUUGUGAUUCAUGACUGGGGUGAAGUCGUAACAAGGUAACCGUAGGGGAACCUGCGGUUGGAUCACCUCCUUA